rnacentral:tRNA from 1 species
GGACAGUAGCUCAAUGGUAGAGCACUUGCCUCAUACACUUGAGGCACUGGGUUCUAUCCUCAGCACCA